rnacentral:rRNA from 1 species
UUGAACGCUGGCGGCAGGCCUAACCCCUGCAAGUCGAACGGUAACAGGAAGAAGCUUGCUUCUUUGCUGACGAGUGGCGGACGGGUGAGUAAUGUCUGGGAAACUGCCUGAUGGAGGGGGAUAACUACUGGAAACGGUAGCUAAUACCGCAUAACGUCGCAAGACCAAAGAGGGGGACCUUCGGGCCUCUUGCCAUCGGAUGUGCCCAGAUGGGAUUAGCUAGUAGGUGGGGUAACGGCUCACCUAGGCGACGAUCCCUAGCUGGUCUGAGAGGAUGACCAGCCACACUGGAACUGAGACACGGUCCAGACUCCUACGGGAGGCAGCAGUGGGGAAUAUUGCACAAUGGGCGCAAGCCUGAUGCAGCCAUGCCGCGUGUAUGAAGAAGGCCUUCGGGUUGUAAAGUACUUUCAGCGGGGAGGAAGGGAGUAAAGUUAAUACCUUUGCUCAUUGACGUUACCCGCAGAAGAAGCACCGGCUAACUCCGU